rnacentral:rRNA from 1 species
UACGUAGGGUGCAAGCGUUGUCCGGAAUUAUUGGGCGUAAAGAGCUCGUAGGCGGUCUGUCGCGUCUGCUGUGAAAUCUCAGGGCUUAACCCUGAGCUUGCAGUGGGUACGGGCAGACUAGAGUGCGGUAGGGGAGACUGGAAUUCCUGGUGUAGCGGUGAAAUGCGCAGAUAUCAGGAGGAACACCGGUGGCGAAGGCGGGUCUCUGGGCCGUAACUGACGCUGAGGAGCGAAAGCAUGGGGGAGCGAACAGG